CAGUAGCCGCGGUAAUACGAAGGGUGCAAGCGUUAAUCGGAAUUACUGGGCGUAAAGCGUGCGUAGGCGGUUUGUUAAGUCUGUUGUGAAAUCCCCGGGCUCAACCUGGGAAUGGCAAUGGAUACUGGCAAGCUAGAGUGUGUCAGGGGAUGGUGGAAUUCCCGGUGUAGCGGUGAAAUGCGUAGAGAUCGGGAGGAACAUCAGUGGCGAAGGCGGCCAUCUGGGACAACACUGACGCUGAGGCACGAAAGCGUGGGGAGCAAACAGGAUUAGAUACCCCCGUAGUCCCUGUCUCUUAUAU
rnacentral:rRNA from 1 species